AAGUGAAGAGUUUGAUCCUGGCUCAGAUUGAACGCUGGCGGCGUGCCUAACACAUGCAAGUCGAGCGGUAACAGGUGUAGCAAUACAUGCUGACGAGCGGCGAACGGGUGAGUAAUGCUUCGGAAUCUGCCCAAUGGUGGGGAACAACCAGCCGAAAGGUUGGCUAAUACCGCAUAAGUCCUACGGGAGAAAGCAGGGGAUCGCAAGACCUUGCGCCGAUGGAUGAGCCGAAGCCGGAUU
rnacentral:rRNA from 1 species